rnacentral:tRNA from 1 species
GGGGCUAUCGUCUAAACGGUCAGUGACAACACCCUUUCAAGGUGUAGAUCCGGGUUCGAAUCCCGGUAGCCCUACCA